UUUGUUUUCAAGCCUUUAAGCUCAGUAUGCAACUUAACUGUACUGUGUUAAAUAAAUUAUUUUUUUGGGAAAUGACAGUGCGCCCCAGGGUGGCAGUGGCUACAAUGUAGCUUGCCAUCACCAGUGUGUGAAUUUGUGUGUGAAUGGGUGGAUGACUGGUUGUGUAAAGCGCUUUGGGGUCCUUAGGGACUAGUAAAGCGCUAUACAAAUACAGGCCAAAAAAAAUUCUGUCUCUCAGAUGGAGAGCUGGGCUUGCUCUGUGCUCACUCCCUUCUGUUGCUGGGCUCCUGCUGUCACACCUGUUGCCACUUACUCAUCAGCCACAGUAAUUAAGGACAUCGGCUUGAGCACCUACUCUCUGCCAGAUUGCUGCUGUCCUUGUGGUGGUAAUUAUACCUUUUUUUGUUUUAAUUUUUGGAUUCUUUACUCUCUGUACUUGUUCAUCUGCAUCUAUCUUUUUUUUUUCUUUUUUUUUUUGCCUGUCCCGUUUGGCUCUUUUGCCAUCAGAAUUGUUGUCUAAAGGCAAAGAAAGAUGCCCAACGGAUUUACUUUACCAAAUUGACCAUCCCAGCCUUGCCGUAAUGGUCCAUUUGAUUCACCUUUUAUUGUUUAUUUUAUUUUCACUUACUGAAUACGGGACAGACUUGACUGAGGGAAAGAAGGGGAGAAAGAAAGAGGGAAAGAGAAACAGCUGAGAAGAGGGAUGGGGGAGAAGGGCAAAAAACAAAAACCAACAGAAUGGGCAGAAAAAAAAAAUGCAUAUAUCGAUCACCUGGAUCACCUGCUGAGAAAGAAAAAAGAAAACAAACAGAAGAGAACAAGAGUAAUAGAAUAAACAGCAUCACAAUGAUAUAUGGGAAUAUGACAGUAAAUACUAAAUAUUAAACAUUAUUGUGCAGCACAUAAGAUCAACAGAACACAGUGUGCUUUGAGGUAGGAGCCAGAAAGGGUGUAGUUUGUGGGUGUGAUCACCCGUGUGUACACCUGUUAGCAUGGACGCGCUUGUUUUUUUUAAAAGGUUCCUUCAUGUAAU
ensembl:lncRNA